UGGGGAAUUUUGGGCAAUGGGGGAAACCCUGAUCCAGCCAUCCCGCGUGUGCGAUGAAGGCCUUCGGGUUGUAAAGCACUUUUGGCAGGAAAGAAACGUCGCGGGUUAAUACCCCGCGAAACUGACGGUACCUGCAGAAUAAGCACCGGCUAACUACGUGCCAGCAGCCGCGGUAAUACGUAGGGUGCAAGCGUUAAUCGGAAUUACUGGGCGUAAAGCGUGCGCAGGCGGUUCGGAAAGAAAGAUGUGAAAUCCCAGAGCUUAACUUUGGAACUGCAUUUUUAACUACCGGGCUAGAGUGUGUCAGAGGGAGGUGGAAUUCCGCGUGUAGCAGUGAAAUGCGUAGAUAUGCGGAGGAACACCGAUGGCGAAGGCAGCCUCCUGGGAUAACACUGACGCUCAUGCACGAAAGCGUGGGGAGCAAACAGGAUUAGAUACCCUGGUAGUCCACGCCCUAAACGAUGUCAACUAGCUGUUGGGGCCUUCGGGCCUUGGUAGCGCAGCUAACGCGUGAAGUUGACCGCCUGGGGAGUACGGUCGCAAGAUUAAAACUCAAAGAAAUUGAAC
rnacentral:rRNA from 1 species